rnacentral:rRNA from 1 species
AGAGUUUGAUCCUGGCUCAGGAUGAACGCUAGCGACAGGCUUAACACAUGCAAGUCGAGGGCAGCAUAAAAGUAGCAAUACUUGGUGGCGACCGGCGCACGGGUGAGUAACGCGUAUGCAACCUACCUAUCAGAGGGGAAUAACCCGGCGAAAGUCGGACUAAUACCGCAUAAAACAGGGGCACCGCAUGGUGAUAUUUGUUAAAGAAAUUCGCUGAUAGAUGGGCAUGCGUUCCAUUAGGUAGUUGGUGAGGUAACGGCUCACCAAGCCGACGAUGGAUAGGGGAACUGAGAGGUUGGUCCCCCACACUGGUACUGAGACACGGACCAGACUCCUACGGGAGGCAGCAGUGAGGAAUAUUGGUCAAUGGGCGGGAGCCUGAACCAGCCAAGUCGCGUGAAGGAAAGAAGGAUCUAUGGUUCGUAAACUUCUUUUGCAGGGGAAUAAAGUGCAGGACGUGUCCUGUUUUGUAUGUACCCUGAGAAUAAGGAUCGGCUAACUCCGUGCCAGCAGCUGC